rnacentral:rRNA from 11 species
UGAGUUCUCCCUGAGACUUAAAGUCUCCUGAAGGAACGUUGAAGACGACGACGUUGAUAGGCCGGGUGUGUAAGCGCAGCGAUGCGUUGAGCUAACCGGUACUAAUGAACCGUGAGGCUUAACCUUACAACGCCGAAG